rnacentral:misc_RNA from 1 species
UAUAUAAUGGGGCACUCAUAUGUGAAGGCAAGAAGAACUUCCACAUUUUUGAAGAAGCUUGCUAUUGAUAUUGGGUAUUCAUUUCUUCGGAAGAACUGCAGAGGCCCUGCUGUGGCACUUAACAUUCCUCACAUCAGCCUUAUUGAAGUCGGCAUGAUCUAUUAUGUCUAGCUAUUUGGAGGAGUUCUUCAUUCAUUGACCUUGGGCACAUCGCAUUUUGAGCAGAUGGAAUACAAAGGUGGCUAAUGCCUUGCCUGUGGCAGUGGAACGAUUAUGAAGUUACAAAGGUCAGGUUGUUUUAGUGCACAAGUUUCAAGAAACAGCUUCCCUUUUGUUUUGUGGCUCUACUUUCCCAUAUGUAGAUAACGUUUCUGUUGUUAACUUCAUUUGAUGAA